ensembl:rRNA 5S_rRNA 5S ribosomal RNA
UCAAGCUUCUGAAGCCCACUGAAGCUAAGCAGGGUUGAGCCUGGUCAGUAACUGGAUGGGAGACCACCUGGGAAAACUAGGUUGCUGCUGGAA